UUGAAUCCCCACCUUCCAUCCCUUAGCUUGUAAGACAAGCCAUUGGACUUCUUACUUCCUCUCUUCACCUAUCAGCUUCCUCAACAAGUUAUUUGGAUUCUUCUUCCUUCUCCUACACGCCGGUUCCAAGGGACAAGAAAACAAAAUCCUCCCUUACACCCAUUGACGGCUUGCAAGGCAAGACAAGUAGACUCCUUUCUCAUUCCUCUUCACCCGUCAGUCCCAAGGCACAUGAAGGAGAGAAAACUUCUCAAGUUUUCCUUCACACGAAGAACCCUUCGGUUUACCCCAAGCCUCGCGAUCACUUCUUCUCCUCAAGCCGAUUCUUCCACUUCAUAAACCUAAGAUUUCUACCGAAAAUCUUCAAGGAAAAUCAACCUCGUAAGAGAGUUUCCUAUGGCACUAAUCUCUAGAUUGAAAUCUUAGAUCUAUGGGUUAACAUAGGGUUUUUUUUUAAGAAAUUUUUCUGCUGUGUUCUAGCCUUUAAUCCUUCGGAUUUCCUCUUCCUCUUCUCGUGGUUGUGUACUUUCGUGGCUUCAAAGGGGACCCAAACAGAUCGAUAUGAAGAGCCAAGAUAAAGGGUCUAAAUUAAAACCUACUCUUCUCUUUUCCCUCUCUCUUUCCCCUUCCCCUUGCAGUUAGUGGAACCCCCCUUCUCCCCUCUCUUAUCCUUCGGCCAUUGCCCAGCAGUCGGCGACCACUGCAGUGCCGCGCCACCACUACCUCAUCGACGAACACCACUCGCCGAACCCAACCUCCCCACAAUGCCUCUCUCUCCCUCUCCUCCUCCCCCAAAACGAGCCUCCUUCCCUCUUAGCUUCUCCACAUCAUUGUCGCAACCCGCACCCAAACCACCGCCGUUCAUCGUCGACGACACUGAGAGCCCCUCGCCGGCUCCAGCCGAUCAUCCCCCAACUCCCCCACGAUCUCUCCAUUCCCCGUAACUCACUUGUCUUCAUCUGUGGGUAUGUUUUCUUCUCUUUGUUUUUUUGUUCUCUCUUUGGUGAUUUUGAGUUUGUUUUGAAUAGAAUAUUUGAAUGUUUGAGGAGUAUUUUUAUGGGUUAAAUCCUCGUGUCGUCUUCUUCAUCCAUGGGUAUGUUUUCUUCUCUCUGUUUUUUUGUUCUCUCUUUGGUGAUUUUGAGUUUGUUUUGAAGAGAAUAUUUGAAUGUUUGAGGAGUAUUUUUAUGAGUUAGAUCCUUGUGCCGUCAUCUUCAUUCGUGGAUGUGUUUUAUAAUAUCUGUUUUUUUGUUCACUCUUUGGUAUUUUGAGUUUGUUUUGCAGAGAAUUUUAAAUGUUUAAUGGGUUUUAGAGUUUGGGUGAAAGUCAAAUCUUGGGAUUAAUUUUGGAUUCGGUGGGAUAGGUUUGAAGAGGGAGUGAAAUUGUGAAAGUGAUGGGUUUUGGUGGGAGAGGUUUGAAUGACCAAAUACUUACUUCUCUUUUCAUCAAAUAAUCUUGUUUCCUUAAAACAGAUAAUUUUGUAUUCUGAUUGUUAAAUAAAGGUGUAAUAUUAGGGCACUGAGUUGUAGUAUUCUGGUUCUCUUUCGCUAACUUGUUCUCUUAGACAACAUUGGACAUUGAGUUCACAAGACUCGGAUCAUUGUUGCAAUCCCUGGUACCUUUUUCUACACAUGGUAUGCUUUGCAGUAGCAUUGGCUUGCUCACAGUAUACUAUGACUUGCUUUAUGCAUUUAGUAUAAAUAGCAUCCUUCUGAAUGAAACAUUUUUGUUGGCAGUGUCUUUAUUCAAUAAGAUGCGAAAAUACUGUUAUUGAGCUGCUUUUAUUAUAUAUUGUGUCUAUUGUUAAUACUUGGUCAAUCCAUUUUGGAAACCUCUACUUUGGAAUGUAUGCAUGGAGAAUUUGGUGUUCCUUUCAUGGUUUCUGCUUUUCUCUGUUGAAAUACAUUCUUACUCUUCAGUUUGGGUGGUGCAGAGAAUAUACUAGGAAUUCAAUGUAGCGGUUGUCUUCAAUUUAGGUGGCUACAUGAAAAUAUCUAUGAAGUUUUAUUUGGUGUGAUUAAAUCACAUGGAAGACUAUGUUAUUGAUAUGUAACUCAUAUCUUGUAAUUUUAUAUUUUGUAAUGUAAUGUAAUGUAGUUUACUGUAGGUUUCUUGUCCAUUGUUCAAGUUUUCAUUUUUCAUGUCCAUUGUUCAAGUUAUUUGUAUUCCAAUAUAUAUUUUUUUUUUGUGAUA